GUCGAGAAUAAUUCACAAUGGACGAAAGCCUGAUGGUGCAACGCCGCGUGGAGGAUGACGGUCUUCGGAUUGUAAACUCCUGUCAUCCGGGAGUAAGACCUGGCUGUGAAUAGCAGACAGGGUUGAUAGUACCGGAAGAGGAAGGGACGGCUAACUUCGUGCCAGCAGCCGCGGUAAUACGAAGGUCCCGAGCGUUGUUCGGAAUCACUGGGCGUAAAGGGAGCGUAGGCGGCGUGGUAAGUCAGAUGUGAAAUCCCGGGGCUCAACCCCGGAACUGCAUCCGAUACUGCCGUGCUAGAGGAUUGGAGAGGUAGCUGGAAUUCUUGGUGUAGCAGUGAAAUGCGUGGAGAUCAAGAGGAACACUCGUGGCGAAAGCGAGCUACUGGACAAUAUCUGACGCUGAGGCUCGAAGGCCAGGGUAGCGAAAGGGAUUAGAAACCCGGGUAGUCC
rnacentral:rRNA from 1 species